UGGUGCCUUCGGGAACUGUGAGACAGGUGCUGCAUGGCUGUCGUCAGCUCGUGUUGUGAAAUGUUGGGUUAAGUCCCGCAACGAGCGCAACCCUUAUCCUUUGUUGCCAGCGGUUAGGCCGGGAACUCAAAGGAGACUGCCAGUGAUAAACUGGAGGAAGGUGGGGAUGACGUCAAGUCAUCAUGGCCCUUACGACCAGGGCUACACACGUGCUACAAUGGCGCAUACAAAGAGAAGCGACCUCGCGAGAGCAAGCGGACCUCAUAAAGUGCGUCGUAGUCCGGAUUGGAGUCUGCAACUCGACUCCAUGAAGUCGGAAUCGCUAGUAAUCGUAGAUCAGAAUGCUACGGUGAAUACGUUCCCGGGCCUUGUACACACCGCCCGUCACACCAUGGGAGUGGGUUGCAAAAGAAGUAGGUAGCUUAACCUUCGGGAGGGCGCUUACCACUUUGUGAUUCAUGACUGGGGUGAAGUCGUAACAAGGUAACCGUAGGGGAACCUGCGGUUGGAUCACCUCCUUA
rnacentral:rRNA from 1 species